UACGGAGGAUCCGAGCGUUAUCCGGAUUUAUUGGGUUUAAAGGGUGCGCAGGCGGGAGAUUAAGUCGGCGGUGAAAUUUUGCAGCUCAACUGUAAAAGUGCCUUCGAAACUGGUUUCCUUGAGUGUGGAUGAAGUAGGCGGAAUUUGUGGUGUAGCGGUGAAAUGCAUAGAUAUCACGAGGAACUCCGAUUGCGCAGGCAGCUUACUAAACCAUAACUGACGCUCAGGCACAAAGGCGUGGGGAUCAAACAGGAUUAGAUACCCCGGUAGU
rnacentral:rRNA from 1 species